UAAGGUAAUGAACUCAGAACAUGAAUAAUAUUUCUUUAUUUACAAGUUAGAAUCAACAGACAAAAGAAAAGACAAUCCAGGGGACCAACUGGGGAGAUGACCGAAACCCCCAGGGUCCCCAAAUGGAGCAGAAGGAAAAGGGAAAACUGAGUAGAAAAAAAAAGUCAACGUAAAAAAAGAGCUCCCCCUUCCUCCCUCCCUAUGGAAGCUGAGGGACCAUGGCCCCACCCCUCUUCAGCCUUACCUAGCUUAAAAUAAAUUAGAACAAACAAUCUCAAAACAGGGCCCUUCUAAGUGAACAGGGCAGCUGUGACCUCAGUAAGCCUGUAUCAGGGCCUCUGCCCAUUCCCACCCGAUACCCCUGCCUGCCCCAGCCAUUUUGAAUGGGGGCUCUAUGCCUACGGGGGCACUCUCCACUGGGCUGGGAGCUCAGUCCUCUUUUGUCCGUUUUUCUGUCCCUCCUUUAGU
rnacentral:lncRNA from 1 species